UUGUGAAAUAUGUGUGUAUUUGAAUCUUACGCUAUGAAUAAAAAUCCAUUCUUUCUUUUUCUUCUUCAAAUCAAGAAACAAGAAUCUAUUUUUCUCCCAUUUUCAUCUCACCCAAAAUUACACUUCCGAUUCUUCCAAGAUUUCUCGCAUUCUCACCGAUUCUUCCAAAAUCACACUUCGAACUCACAAUCUCUCGUGUUCUCCUUUCUCCGCCGAUUCUUCAAUGAUCAGUUGUGUGCAUCUUCAGCAUCCCGCGAUUCUUCAAUCAGAAAUUUUCAAUUCGAUUUCUGAAUCAAUUGAUUGCGGGCUGAGGUAGAAGGCUAAAUAGAGACCUAUGAUGUAAAAAUAGGUGAAAAGUGGGCUAUUAAUUUAUGUCAGUGAUGUGAAAAUGUGGCUGGAAGUGCACUAUUAAUUAAUGUUUGUGAUAUGUAGAUAGCAAAAAAGAUAGAUACUCCAUGAUGCAAUAAUAGUUUUGUUGCUGAUGGUAUGAAGAGCAGGAUCGUCGGUUCUUUUUCCAGUUUGGAAAUAAUCUUAGACCUCCAGUUCUUCUUUUUCGAGGAUCAGUAGGAGCUUACGCAUAUCUCAGAUUGUUACGGGCAAAAAGUCUCAAACUUGACUAUGAAGCAAGUGAAAUUGUGUUCGCUAAAGCUGAACAAAUCUGGUGGUAUGAAUAGCAGGAUCGUCGGUUCUUUUUCCGGUAUGGAAAUAAUCAUAGACCUGCAGUUCUUCUUUUUCGAGGAUCAGUAGGAGCUUACAUAUAUCUCAGAUUGUUAGGUGGGAAAAGUCUCAAAGUUGGCUAUGAAGCAAGGGUUGAGGUAGAAAGCAAAAAAGAUAGAUACUCCAUGAUACAAUAAUAGGUGGGAAGGGACUAAUUUGUAGUGUGAGAUUUAUCAACAUUGUGUGGUUUCUUAUGAUUUGAUGACUUAAUGAAUUCGAUUUGUUUAUAACAUUAUAUAAGCUACUUAUUGACACAGUUCUGUAGCAACUGACACAUUUGUUUAUAAGCUACUAAUUGGUUCAUGCAUUAUGGGUGGUGGCACCAUUGGUGUUCAAUCCCUCUAGCUUUGAUUGGUUAAAAAUUGUUUAUAAUUUUGAUGACGUUAUGAAUUGGAUAUGGUACAGUGGAAUUGUGUUGGCUAAAGCUGAACAUAGCUGAUGGUAUGAAGAGCAGGAUCGUCGGUUCUUUUUCCAGUAUGGAAAUAAUCUUAGACCUCAAGUUCUUUUUCCAGAAUGUAAAAAACAUGUUCCUGAUCAUUGGUUACUAUGUUAUAUACUCAUAACAAUGACUUAAUGAAUAAUUUGGCCCAUUUACUGCGUAUUAUUUUUUGGUCAAGUACUGCGUAUUAUUAUUAAGGGAAAAAAGACAUAAGAAUUGGAGAACCAAAGUAAACACAGGUUUGGUAUUAGGAAUUGGAGAACAAUAGGAAAAAACAAGUUUGGUAUUAGUGGAGAUGCAGAUUUGAAUAAUUUGAAUAAGAUGAAAUGUGAGUUCAGUGUUGGAAGUGAAAAAAAGCAAGAAUGUGGUGGGUGGUAGGCCAAAGCUUGCUUUGUAACCUUGUUCAGAGCUGCCGAGUAAUGUACAUAGGAUUAGGAUGUUCCUGUUCCUGAUGCUGUUGUUUCUGAAAUUCUGCUUUCUAUCACAUCACUUGAUUACUUGUUACAUCAACUAAUACCAUUGUAACUUCUGCUGCAGAGGAUAUGAGAAGACUAAAUAAAAUAUAACUGAAGGUGCACUUGAUAUGGAUGAAGCUAUUGAUGUAAGUCUUAAUUGCUUAACAUAAAAUUAGGUGUGUAUGUUUCUUGUGCAUUCUUAUACAAUAGAUGUUUCAUUAUUAUUGACAUUAGUCAUAUAUAAGCCUCUACAGAGGCAUAUAAUCCUCCAAAGUUCAAAGUUCUUAUGAAGGAAUAUAUAAGCCCCUGCAAAGGCAAGCUUUCUCCUACCUUAUUUAUCUUUUUUGUCCGGUAAGUUCCUUUCGCUAAAGUUGUUUCUCUUAUGUUGUUCAUUUUGUAAGGGAUUGAAUGUCUUGAUGCCCAAAAAAUGCUGGAUAAAUUACUUAAUAACCAUAGUCCCUGAAUGUGAAAUCUUGUUAUUUCCUUAAUUGCUACUCAAAGCAAUUGUCCCUAUCGUUGUCCGCUUUUCUAUUAAAAAAAAUGAAUUUUUACUCAUAGUAAUGCAUGAAUGCAUAUAUAUUCUGCUUUGAUGACCCUUAGUCCCUAAAUUCAAUUUUUCAACUGCAAUUGGAAGUGAUUUUGCAUUAUGAACUUAAUGACCCUUGUCCCUAAUGUUACCUAAGUUUUGUAAGGGAUGGAUGCCUCAAUGACCCUUGAGGAAAAUGUAUUAUGAAUUCUUUAUUCAUAAUGGAAAAGUUGGAUGGUGGCUUUAGAAGUGAUUUUACGUUAUGAACUUUAAUUGAGGAAACAUGUUCUAUCCCAAAAACUUUCAAUCUUCUGCUUAUUGGUUUCUAAUCAAUACCUAUUUCGAACGAUGAUGGGUUUCGAUUUUUUCAUUCUUGAUUAUUCAAGUACCUUCAAUCUUCUGCUUCAAUAAAAUGUGAAAUUUCAAAUUUUGUUGGGGAUUAGAUGUCUUGAUGCCAAAAAAAUGCUUGACCGAAGUACCUGAAUGUGAAAUCUUGUUGUUGCCUUAAUUGCUACUCAAAACAAUUGUCCCUAUCGGUGUCCUCUUUUCUAUUGAAAAAAAUUAUGAAUUUUUAUUCAUAGUAAUGCAUGAAUGUAUAUAUAUUCUGCUUUGAUGACCCUUAGUCCCUAAAUUCAAUUUUGCAACUGCAAUUAGAAGUGAUUUUGCAUUAUGAACUUAAUGACCCUUGUCCCUAAUGUUACAUAGUUUUGUAAGGGAUGGAUGACUCAAUGACCCUUGAGGAAAAUGCAUUAUUUGUAAGGGAUGACUCAAAAGGAGGAAGAGAUAAUAGCCAAAACGCAAUAUAGUGAUAAGCUCCAACAAUUUAAAAUUCUUGUAAUUUGAUUUUUGGAGGUAUUCUCAUUAUUUAUGUUUUCUAAUUUGGUUAGUUUGUUUAAACAAGGUGAAGUUGAUUAAUAUGGCAUCCUUUAAUAUAUUCAUUAUGAGAGACUUGACUGGAAUAUUCAUGCUAUGGUAGUAGGAUAUGAAUUCAAAUAUUGUGUGUUCUAGAGUGGACUGUAGUGCUGGCCCAAGCCCAAUAUCAUGUCCUCGACUAUAUAAGCCUCACAUCAUCACCUAUGAAGGUAUGUCUCAUUCUAAACCUCUCUUUAACUCAAAACUUUUAAUCUCCUGCUUCAAAUUUUGUAAGGAUUAUAUGUCUUGAUGGCCAAGAAAUGCUGGAUAAAUUACUUAAUGACCCUAGUCCCUGAAUGUGAAAGCUAGUUGUUGCCUUAAUUGCUACUCAAGUAAUUGUCUCUAUCGGUGUUCACUUUUCUAACAAAAAAAUUAUGAAUUUCUAUUCAUAGUAAUGCAUGAAUGGAUGUAUAUUCUGCUUUGAUGACCCUUAUCCCUAAAUUCAUUUUUGCAACUGCAAUGAUAAGUGAUUUUGCAUUAUGAACUUAAUGACCAUUGUCCCUAAUGUUAAAUAAGUUUUGUAAGAGAUGGAUGCCUCAAUGACCCUUGAGGAAAAUGAAUUCUUUAGUCAUAAUGAAAAAGUUGGAUGGUGGCUUUAGAAGUGAUUUUACAUUAUGAACUUUAAUUGAGGAAACAUGUUAUGUCCCAAGAAUCUUCAUCUCCUGCUUAUUGGAAGUUUCAUUCUAACAUAUUUGCCUCAUAUGGUUUAUAAUCGAUACAUGUUGGGAACAAUGAUGGGUUGCCGAUUUUAUCAUUCUUGAUUAUUUGAAAACCUUUAAUCUUCUGCUUCGAUAAGUAGCGAACCCUUAAAUUUUUUAUGGGAUCGGAUGUCGUGAUGCCUAAGAAAUGUUAAUUGUUGCCAUAAUUGCGACCCAAGCAAUUGUCUCUAUUGAUGUCCCCUUUUCUGUCAGAAAUAAAUUAUGAACUUUUAUUCAUAAUGCAUGAAUGGAUAUCUAUUUUGAUUUGAUGACCCUUAGUCCCUAAAUUCAAUAUGCAACUCCAACUUAGAUGUGAUUUUAUGUUAUGAACUUAAUGAUCCUCAUAAAGGAAACAAGGAUGGUGGCCUUUAAAGAAAUUUUAAUAUGAACUUUUUAUUCAAAACGUGUAACUGUCACUGAAUGUUAGCAAUUGUGCUUUGAUCCCCUAGUCCUAAAUGCAACUUUGCAACUACAAUAUGAAGUGCUUUUGCAAAUGCAAAAUGGAGUGCAUGCUUUGGAUUAGCCUAUUGAUAAGGGUUUCAAAGGCAUUUUCUAAGGAAGAAACGAAUCAACUUAGGCAAAGUAUAAAGAAACUAACUCUUUGGAGUUUGAACUAUUUCUCACAGCAUUUAUCCAGUAUAUAUGACAUUAUGCAAACCACCUAUGUCAUAUAAUGAUGCUUGCAUUGCGGUCAAUGGAGGAAACCAUAACAAGGUUGCAUCUGUCAAUGUUUGACUGCAUGUGGUGACUGAUGACAGUUCUUCCAGACAAUAUUAAUAUGUAACAGGUCUGUGCCGAGAACCUUGAAAGAUAUUUGCAUUCAAUUCAUGGAUGUUGAGAUACCCAUUUUCUCAUCUUGAUUAUUCAAAAAUAUCCAAUCUUUGUCUUGAUAAAAACAAAAGAAACUUAAUAAUAGAGCAAAUGUGUUUUGUCCCAAGACCCUGUUUAAUACCGAUAUUUUGAAAGUUAACUUUACUCUUUUUGUUGGAUUAGGUAAUUUUGGAACAUUGAUUUCAAUGUAUUUGCAUUGAUACUUGUUCGAAUACCAAUUUUUAUUUAUAAUUAUUUCAAAUUCAAGAACAUUCAGUCUUCUGCUUGAGAGAAAAAGUGAACCUUCAAUUUUGUAAAUCAAAAUUUAAAAGGGGUGGAGUAUAUUGCCCUAGUAACCCCAAAUUUGACUGUUGGAAUCAAUGAAUAUACUUUGUUUUAUAGAUUGUGUAAUGGAUGGAUCAUAUAUGCCUCUAUGACCAUAGAGUAAAAUGUUGGAUGAACUUAAUGACCGCAGUCCAUGAAUGUGAAAGAUAGUUGUUGCCUUUAUUGUCACUCACGCAAUUGUCUCUAUUGGUGUCCUCUUUUUUGUCAAAAAAUAUAUAUGAAUUUUUAUUCAUAAUGCAUGAAUGGAUAAUUUAUUGUGUUUUGAUGACCCUUAGUUCGUAAAUUCAAUUUUGCAACUGUAAUUAGAAGUUAUUUUGCAUUAUGAUCUUAAUGACCCUAUUCCCUAAAGUUUCAUAAGUUUUGUAUGAAAUGGAUGCUUCAAUGAGUCAAAUCAAACAAUGACCUCAGAGUAAAGUGCAGUAUGACCCUAAUUGUGGAUGAUAUUUAUUGUCUUUUUAUGACCCUAAUCGUGAAACUGUCACUGAGAUGAAUUUAUUUUCAUUAUGGAUAAAGCGUGGUGUGGCAAACAUGAACCCACUAACUCAAAAUUCCACAAUAAGAUGAAUAUACUUUGUUCUGUGAUUUUUGUAAGGGAUUUUCUUGAUUGCCCAAAAAUGCAGGCUGAUGCCUUUCUGUCCCAUGACCCUUUUGUUUCUUUGGUACCAAUGCUUUCAAAUAUUAACUUUUUUGUUUGCUACGGUAAAUUUUGGAACUUUCAUUACAACAUAUUUGCAUUCAUUCAUGUUGUAGGAUACCCAUUUUUUUCAUUUUUUAUUUAGUCAUGAACAUUCAAUCUUCUGCAUGAAAAAAGAUACAACUUUACCCAUUUUUCUCAUUCUUGAUCAUUGAAGAACAUUCAAUCUUCUGCUUGAGGAAAACAAAAGAACUUUAACUGUGCAAAAGAUGUUCUGUUCUGUCCUAAAAGAAUCUUAAAAGACAGUUUUUGUGUGUCACGAUAAGCGAGUUUCGCUCGUUUUGGAAUUUUCAUUCUAUCAUAUUUUCCCAAUCUGUUUUAUAAUUGAUACAUGUUGGGAACGACGGUGGGUUUCCAAUUUUAAAGGGUGUAGAAACCCUAUAAGACAUUGAAUCUUAAUAUACUUUUUUUAUAAAUUUUGUAACGGAUGCAUCAUAAAUGCCUCAAUGACCAUAGAGUAAAAUGUUGGAUGAACUUAAUGACCCUAGUCCCUGAAUGUGAAAGCUAGUUCUUGCCUUAAUUGUUACUCAAGCAAUUGUCUCUGAAUAUACUUUGUUUUAGGAAAAUGCAUUAUAAUGGAAAAGUUUGAUGGUGGCUUUCAAAGCAAAGAAAUUUUAAUAUAAAAUUUUAUUCAAAAUGUGGAUUGUGUCUAUUGUCUUUUUAUGUCCCUAAUUGUAAAACUGUCACUAGUGGUAUGGUAUACAUGAACUCACUAACUCCAAAUUCGAUGAUAAGAUGAUAUAAUUUGUUACAUGAUUUUUGUAAGGGAUUGUCUUGGUGGCUCAAGAAUAUAACGUGAAAGCUAGUUAUUGCCUUAAAUUUAAUUUUAAUAUAAAAUUUCAUUCAUAACAUAAGGCAUGGAUAUUAUCUAUUGUACUUUGAUGACCCUAGUUCCUAAAUGCAAUUUUGCAACUACAAUAUGAAGUGAUUUUGCAAAUGCAAAAGGAAGUGCAUCCUUUGUGCAUGAGCCCACUAACUCCAAAUCAAAAAUACGAUGAAUAUAUACUCUGUUCUGUGAUUUUUGUAAGGGAUUUUCUUGAUGGCCCAAAAAUGCAGGUUGAUGCCUUAAUGUGAAAGCUAGUUGAUGAGAAGGAAUUAUCAGGCAUAUUGUAAAAUUUGAUAAAAUUUUGCGAGUAUUGUUGGUAUAAGAAUCAGAUAGCACUAGAUUUGUGUUGAUAAUUAGUAACUGAAAAAAGGUAGAACCUCCAUUUUUAUCUUUCUUGAUCAUUCAAUAAGAUUCAAUCUUCUGCUUGAUAAAUACAAAACUUUUUAUUGCUGAACAUAUCGGUGUUCAGGUUCAGCAAGGUUCAACAGUAAUUUCGAAACUGAAACCUCAUGGAACUAUUAGUGUUGAAAGAAUGCUGGUGGGUAAAGGAAAGGUUGAUGGUUCAGUUGUUGGUGUGACUUCAUGCACGAAUCAGAGCAACUUUCUAUCCCAAAUUUGAAAAUGAAAAUUCAGAUCAAGAGAGUGGACCAUUGGGAUGGUCGAAGCCCAAUACCACCUUCAUCUCGACUAUAUAAGCCUUGCAUCAUCACCUAUGAAGGUAUGUCUCAUUCUAACCCCUCUAUAGCUCAGAAGUUUGAAGGCCAUAAAUUAACUUAAAAGCAAAGACAAAAAAUAUUACUCGAAGGGAGGAUAAAUUAACUUUUAAUUUAGUUAAAAGCCUUGAAUGAUUAAUUAACCCGGUAUUGGGUUGAGGCCUCUGGUCCAACAAAAUAUGGAAGACCAUGAGAUAGCCUUUAUAUUAAAGCACAUGCAUUCUUCACCCGUCUAUGUUAUGCAGCUUCUAUCUUACACUGUGUUUGGUUUGGUUCUCCGAUUUGUCUUUCUUCUUCAUGUAAAGAAUGAAUGCAGCUUCUAUCUUACACUGUGUUUGGUUUGAUCAAAAUCUCUAUGUACGUUCAAAAUCGAAAUUAUUUUUUAUAACAAAAUAAGUUAAUGAUUAACCAAACAUAGAGUCAAAGUAUAUUUUCAUUUAGAAAGAGGCAUCUAGGGUGCAGAGCAAUAUAGUAUAAUAAACCAAACAUGCUAGUUUGGUUUUGCUUUCAAUGUCUUGUGUUGCCUAAAUAUUCCAAGUUGGAGGUGCCUUUAGAAGAAUUUCAACACAGUCCAAUAAGCCCAAAUCUUAUCCUGAAUAGUGAAUUCAACAGCCUUUGAAGCCACUCAAAAAGGCCCAAAUUGGAGGUGGAGGUGUGCAUUAUAAGAAGGGCU